UGCACAUACUUAGCAUUUACAUGGCUCAAGUCAGAUUAUUAAACUAAAUAGACAUGAAUUUGCACCAUAAUUAAUGGUCUAAAUUUAUAUUCACCUUGAGACUUUGUGGUCUACAAGGUCUUAUGGCAAACCUGUUUAUCAAUUUUUUAGUCCGUAGAGAAUGCAACAUGUUCUCCCAAAUAAAAAAUUACAUGGAUGCGAAUUCUAGCAGACAUGCAUAAGUACCUUGGGAUAUUCACUCGACACACUAAAUUCACAGACUUGAAAGCUGUUUGGCGGCGUCCAGACGACAAACAAGACGAAGUUGUUGAUAGUAGUAGCGUAAAUUUUAGACGCAAUUCACAUCUAAUCUUAUGUGAAAAUUAAAACCAUGGAGGAUGACUUGUUCAGUGAAAUUUUACCAGAAUUCAAUAUUCACCAAGACGAAUUGUAUGAAGAAUGUUGCAAUAUUUUCAUAGAAGCAGGAAGCACUACUCCAUCAAAGGAAUUGAUUAAUUGGGAUGAAUUAAUCGAAAAAAUAUCAGCUACAAAUUUCUUAUCAGAGUUUAGUUCAAGAAACUUCGACAAUCUUCCUAGUGUUCCAAAUCUUACUUGUGCAGCGGCAAAAAUUCAAAAUUUAAAUCGUGCCAAUCAAACAAAAUCUUCUAACUUGAGUGGAUCAGAAAUCAAAUCGAGAUCCGCAUUUAAUUGCAAUUUACAUAACAAACAAAACAUAUUUGAACGUCCCACUUGCUCGCAAAAGCUCAGCACGAAAACGCACCUUAAACGUCACAUUUACCUGAAACAUUCACCAUGCGACAUUUCCGUCCAGUGUCCCAUCUGUCAGAGAACAUUUUCCAAUCAAGUUAAUCUGGACAGACAUCGACGUCCCGCCUCAACUGCGCAGGCACGAAUUCGAAAUCUGUGCCGGGGAGGAGACGCACAAGACUGCAGACUCAGAUGCGAUUUGUGUGGGCAACGUUUCUUCUUAAAAAGUGGGUUAAAUCGACACUAUAAAAAGUUUCAUCGUAACGAACCAUAAAUUUUUGGUCUCAAUUUUUAUUUAAUUUUGCGAGCGUCCUUUUGAAAUUGUUAAAAUAUGAAUGUACAACAAUAAUCUUGUAUAGUUUAAUUAUGUUACAGGGUAACAGGCCUAAAUUUCUAGUAUAGACAGAGCAAUUGCCAAAUCUUAAACAAUGAAAAAACAAUGUAAUUAUGGCUACACCUUUCAAGUAGAUUCUACCCCUUCGAUUACAGUAUUUAAGUAAAUGCAGCCUCAAUUCUAUAUUAACCAAGUUCUGUCAUUAUAUUAAAAAAAUUAUUUUCAAAAGUUUACAAUUAUGAAAAGGUACUUAUGACGUACGUAAUUAUGAGGUGCGUAAGAUAAAUAAGUACGUAUGCCUGCUAUGUAUCAGCUUAUGAAUGAUCGUAAUGAAGCAUUUCUAAUUUUAAUCAAACUGUAAGUUUUAAGUGUAGAACAUGGGUAAUCAUUUAAAACGUUUAUUUAUGAGCGUAUACAUAUAAUAUUAAGUAUUCUUCCUCUAUUUUAAGUUAUCAGUUAUCAUCAAUACUUACAACCUUGAUUUGAGAAAAUAACAGCUUUCAACAUUAAAAAUAUAUGUAUGUACUUCAAAUCUUUAAAGUUAUUCUGGGCAUGUAAAUUAAUAAAUUUGUCGUAUCCA